AGAGUUUGAUCCUGGCUCAGUAUAUUAAGUCGUAACAAGGUAGCCGUAGAGUUUGAUCCUGGCUCAGAGCGAACGCUGGCGGCAGGCUUAACACAUGCAAGUCGAGCGGGCACCUACGGGUGUCAGCGGCAGACGGGUGAGUAACACGUGGGAACGUACCCUUCGGUUCGGAAUAACGCUGGGAAACUAGCGCUAAUACCGGAUACGCCCGUAUGGGGAAAGGUUUACUGCCGAAGGAUCGGCCCGCGUCUGAUUAGCUAGUUGGUGGGGUAACGGCCUACCAAGGCGACGAUCAGUAGCUGGUCUGAGAGGAUGAUCAGCCACACUGGGACUGAGACACGGCCCAGACUCCUACGGGAGGCAGCAGUGGGGAAUAUUGGACAAUGGGCGCAAGCCUGAUCCAGCCAUGCCGCGUGAGUGAUGAAGGCCUUAGGGUUGUAAAGCUCUUUUGUCCGGGACGAUAAUGACGGUACCGGAAGAAUAAGCCCCGGCUAACUUCGUGCCAGCAGCCGCGGUAAUACGAAGGG
rnacentral:rRNA from 1 species